UACGUAGGGUGCGAGCGUUAAUCGGAAUUACUGGGCGUAAAGCGUGCGCAGGCGGUUCGUUGUGUCGGCGGUGAAAGCCCCGGGCUCAACCUGGGAAUGGCCGUUGAAACUGGCGAACUGGAGUACGGCAGAGGGGGGUGGAAUUCCACGUGUAGCAGUGAAAUGCGUAGAGAUGUGGAGGAACACCGAUGGCGAAGGCGGCGACCUGGUCCGUGACUGACGCUGAGGCGCGAAAGCGUGGGGAGCAAACGGG
rnacentral:rRNA from 1 species